GACCCAGGAAGAACAUUCUGGGGGCCACUAUCAGCUGUAUGAAUUGUCAUCACCUCCUGUUGCCACUGCAUGGUAGCUAUACAUAAGAAGUCUGAGUCUGGUGUAAUCUCAAUGACUUCACUGCGGCCACACCUUAUUUACGGGAGUCAGAACACAAGUAGGAUCAAGGUACAAGGCCAAAGUAUGGAGCAGGAAAAUUACCACUCUCUCCAGGAGCCCUCAGCUCCUGCCCACUUUCCUGCAACAGUGAUUCCACCAGCCACUCCCAGAUCAUGUGCUGAGAUAUAAUAAAGGAAAAAAUCGACAGGAUGUUUCCAGUUAAAGGCGAUCCAGGCAAAAGCAGAGAUGGGAGGUUUGGAUGGGGAGAUGUGAAAUGCAAGAAAUCAAGUUUCUGCGUGGAGAAGAAAAUAAGAAAAUGAAGCAGAACUAGAAAAAUGACAAAGUGUUGAGUGCUGAUUUAUUGCAGAAGCCUCUGGUCAUUUCCAUAUAUUGAAAUGCGCCCAAGCGGCCAGUCAGUCAAUUUCCUUUGAGCUGCUGCUGCUGUCCAUGGACUGCCCACGUGAUUCCCCCUCCCCUUUUUUUUUUCCAGACUCUAACACCUCCCAGCCCCGAUCAAGACAGGAAGGGGGUGGGGGGAGGCUGGAGA